rfam:Trichomalopsis sarcophagae strain Alberta scaffold1411, whole genome shotgun sequence.
UAACCGGCCCUUUUCAGGGCCACCAAACUAUUAAACNCGUAUACU